rnacentral:lncRNA from 1 species
CUCAUAUCCCCUCUCUCACACUCAUAGAUUGAAAACCCUAGCGCCGCCAUAAAACGCCUCACCAUCUCCGGUGGCGGCGCAACUCCAAACUACCCCAAAUCCAUACCACGUAACACCCAGGCCAUCCUAAAUCCUAUCCCCACAUUUAUUUCUGAAAAGUCCCAAUGAAAUUCCCCCAAUUCCAAAUUCAAAAAUUCAAACCCUAAUUUAUUCUAUUUUUCUAAUUCGGCACAAGUUCUGGCUCGUUUUAACCUAUAAUCUACGUUAGUCGAUUGCUUUUAAUGAGAGCAAUCGAUUAGCAUUGGUUUUAGUUUAUUCCGAGGAUGCCAGAUUUUGACGAACUCAUCGGAUUCCGGCCAAAUGUUCACUCCCAUCUUCGUUCAUAGAUUGGUUUUAUCUUGUUAAGGCAUUCCGACAUGAUUUGGUACUUUUCCCUCCUUGUUCUCACGAUUUCGUUCCCUGUAAUAUUUUUUUGUUUUUUAUUAUUAUUUUAUCUGCUUCAUUGCUUUGUCUAGUUUUAUUUAGCAGUUGAAUUCAUCUUAAUUUGGUAGCUACAUUAAGUUUAAUCGCAAAGUCUGAGUCGUCUAUUGUUUUCCACUUUCUGGAUUUGAUUUUUCUUUUGUGUGUGUGUGUUUAAUGAUUUCUGAUGGUUCUCGUAAACACUAUGGCCAUAAUUGACUCAGUUAAGAGGCCCGUUCAUUUUGGGUCUUGGGUUAACUUGACCCAGGUUAGUAAUUGGAAAGUAAAUACAAGGGUGUCCGGGGUCAAUUUAGGGAUUUGAGGGAAUCAUUUUCUGUUAGCAUAAAAGCUUCUAGAGGAUAGACUUAGAGUUGGUUUGUUAAGAGAUAAGGAGGGUCAGAUAUUUGGAAGGGUAAAAGGGGGAAAGUAACCAAAAAUUCGAGGGGUAAAAGGGGAAAUGGUUGUUUAACUAGGGCUGCCUUAGGCUAGUUAUUUAAGGACCUCUUUGGAUUCAUUUGAAGGGCAUCCAUUGACACUCUAAAAGAACAAAAGAAUUUUUGCAACAUUUGGACUGAAAUCAAUUUUGGAAUUGCAUGUUUGGCUUUACUAUUAGCAAAUAAUUAAAAAUUUCAAAGCAUUUUGACUCAUUCUGGGGUUUUAAAAAUGGUGUAAACAAGCUUAAUCCUGUUGCAUUGGUGUGCUGAACUACUGCUGUUGUUUCUUCCUAACCUUGGGCUUUUUGUCUUUGUUACUGUUGCUGAAAUCAGGUACCCUUUUGGACUUUAUUAAUAUGUGAGGCUUGAAUCUGAAGCAUGUUGGAAAUAUACACUUUAGUUGGCUGAAUAUCAACUCGUGUUGCUGAAAACUUAUCCUUAUUCUACAUUAAAUUAUGUUUCAUUACGUUAUUCAUUGUAUUUACUCAUGCUAUGUACAUUACAAUUUGUAUUGGGGUUGUAUUUGGACUUUAAGUUUGUCAUUUUGAUUUUAAUUUGGGUUGAACUUUUCUGUCAUGUGAUUAGUGUUGGACUGUUAUAAGAUGGUCUUAACUGAGAUGGAGAAUUGUCCUUGUUAGGCUUUGAUUGUAUUUGUUCAAGGUGAUAGUGAUUACUAGUGCAUAGUUAACUCUUUUCAUGGUUUUCUUUACUGUUUUAUAUGUUGGUUUGGUAUCUGAACAAAUCCAGGAG